CCCAACUCUCGGAAGGGCGGGGAGAAGCCUGGACCCUGUGCCCUAGGCCAGGUGUUUCUGCACGGAGCCACCUGCGAUGCCUGCAAGACCCAACCCCGCGCGAUCUGUCAGAAAGUUGCCUGAAAGGACAAACUCUUGGGUCAAACUUAUGAUCGUGUUAACUUUGGGCGUUGAGAGCCAGACAAACGUGUUGGAACAGCGGUCUACCCAGCGUGUUCCCCUGAACAACCUGGAAAACGCCCUGUCUGAACAUGCCUCCUGCCGCUACAGACCUGAAUGAAUGUCUGCAACGAAAUCGACCCUGGGAACUGGCAGGAAGCGAUCGAGACCUGUGUGGCAACGUGUUCUCUUCUACCCAGGCCCAGAAGCUGGGAGAACCGCCCACCUGAACAAUUAGACCUUGCUCCUGGGCAGCUAACAGGCAUUUGGAAACCACCUAGAAGUCACAAAUGGAAGCGAGCUGAGAAUUCUGAUAGAUCAGGACAUGGUGAAGUCUUAGAAUCAGUAAUUGAGUUAAUGGGGCAUUUCAAAAACAAUGUCGGAAACAUUAGUUAUUACAAAAACCUUACUUCCAUGUCUGUGUAUGCUUUUUCCUCCUCCCUAAUGGCAUUUCAGGGAAGACUUUUUUUCUUAAAGAUCCUAAUCUUCUCAAUACCUAAUACCUAAUGGUGCCCCAAAGACUGGAGUACACAGUAAAUAUUUGAGGACAAUUAGGAAAAGGUACAUCAAUUCUAGUGAAUAAAUUUGCCACACCUUUCAUUACUUAGUUUUUAGGAGUCCAUUAGUGUGGCCAUGUGAACAGCCUUAGGAACACCUUCGAGCCAAGUUCUCACUCACUGGAAAGGCCUUCUGAUCUAUUUAACUAAGAAAACAUUGGUGUGUGGGUGUAUCAGUAUCUCUUUUUAUAGGAAGAGUUGAGAGAAGUGUCUCUUAGAGCAGAAGCUACAUUAAAUAAAAGCCAUUGACGUGAAGGAUGCUUUUAGUUUUUAUGCAUGUAUGUGGAGUAUAUUCUCCCUCAGAUCUCCCCUCCUUCCCUCAUCCACCAGUGUCCCCCAAGCCAGCCCUAAUCCCACUUCAUUGUCAUAUAUGAAUGCAUGAUUUUAUGGAUCUAUGUAAAAUCUAGGAACCACAAACAAGAAAGAAAAUCUGGUGACGAUUGUCUUCUGAGAUCGGUUUACUUCACUGAGUACUAUUAUCUUCAUUUGCAUUCAUUGUCCUGUAAGUAAUAUGGCCUUUUUCUUUCUGUAAGAAAAAGUUUGAUUGUGUGUGCAGACACACCCGUUUUCUCACCCAUUCCUCUACUGUCGGACAUCUGUGUUGGUUCCAUAACAGCUACUGAGAACAGUGCUUCAAUAAACACUGACAUUCAAAGAUUUCUGUGAUAUGUUGACUUUAAGUUCUUUGUGUAAAUACCCACUUAAUUUGGGCUCCUAUUAAUAGUAUUGUUGGAAGAAACUAAAAUGUCGGAUUUUAGUAAUUAUUUAUGCUUUUAAUCCCAGUACUUGGGAGAUAGGCAGAUCACUGUGAAUUCCAGGCCAGCCUGGUCUACAUAAUAGCCUUCCAAAAAAAAAAAAAUAGUAAUAG
ensembl:lncRNA